AACAAACAACAAAGUAGUACCUGACGUUAAUGUCCGCUUCACCAAUGUUGGAGAUGAUGUAACAGUAUCUACUCCAGCAGGAUUGAGCCAUGAACCCCCAAAACCGGUUCGGCUACCAUCUAGGCCACCACCAGACGCUUUUAAAUUCCUUAAAUGAAAGUCAAGAGGAUAGAACAGAAUUAUGUGCAAAACAUGCUGCUUAGCAAAAUGAAUAUUGA